UACGUAGGGGGCAAGCGUUGUCCGGAUUUAUUGGGCGUAAAGAGCGUGUAGGCGGCUUGACAAGUCUGCUGUGAAACUCGAGGCUCAACCUCGAGCUGUCGGUGGAAACUGUCUGGCUAGAGUCCGGAAGAGGAGAGUGGAAUUCCUGGUGUAGCGGUGAAAUGCGCAGAUAUCGGAAGGAACACCUGUGGCGAAAGCGGCUCACUGGACCAUUACUGACGCUGAUGCACGAAAGCGUGGGUAGCAACAGG
rnacentral:rRNA from 1 species